rnacentral:rRNA from 1 species
AAUAGAUACCCCGGUAGUCCACGCUGUAAACGUUGGGCGCUAGGUGUGGGGGCCUCUCCGGUUCCCUGUGCCGCAGCUAACGCAUUAAGCGCCCCGCCUGGGGAGUACGGCCGCAAGGCUAAACUCAAAGGGAAUUGACGGGGGCCCGCACAAGCGGCGGAGCAUGCGGAUUAAUUCGAUGCAACGCGAAGAACCUUACCUGGGUUUGACAUGGCCGCAAAACCGGCAGAGAUGUCGGGUCCUUCGGGGGCGGUCACAGGUGGUGCAUGACUGUCGUCAGCUCGUGUCGUGAGAUGUUGGGUUAAGUCCCGCAACGAGCGCAACCCUCGUUCGAUGUUGCCAGCGCGUUAUGGCGGGGACUCAUCGAAGACUGCCGGGGUCAACUCGGAGGAAGGUGGGGAUGACGUCAAGUCAUCAUGCCCCUUAUGUCCAGGGCUUCACGCAUGCUACAAUGGCCGGUACAAUGGGCUGCGAUACCGUGAGGUGGAGCGAAUCCCAAAAAGCCGGUCUCAGUUCGGAUCGGGGUCUGCAACUCGACCCCG